UCCAGACUCCUACGGGAGGCAGCAGUGGGGAAUAUUGCACAAUGGGGGAAACCCUGAUGCAGCGACGCCGCGUGAGUGAAGAAGUAUUUCGGUAUGUAAAGCUCUAUCAGCAGGGAAGAUAAUGACGGUACCUGACUAAGAAGCCCCGGCUAACUACGUGCCAGCAGCCGCGGUAAUACGUAGGGGGCAAGCGUUAUCCGGAUUUACUGGGUGUAAAGGGUGCGUAGGUGGCAGGGCAAGUCAGAUGUGAAAGCCCGGGGCUCAACCCCGGUACUGCAUUUGAAACUGUCCAGCUGGAGUGCAGGAGAGGUAAGCGGAAUUCCUAGUGUAGCGGUGAAAUGCGUAGAUAUUAGGAGGAACACCAGUGGCGAAGGCGGCUUACUGGACUGUAACUGACACUGAGGCACGAAAGCGUGGGGAGCAAACAGGAUUAGAUACCCGUGUAAG
rnacentral:rRNA from 1 species